GCCUCGGAUGUCAAGACAGAGAAGUGCUGGAAGGAAGAAAGUCAAGAGAAGGGAGUCAAACUUAUACCGGGAAAUCCAGGCUCUUAAGGAAUCACUCAAUAAACAGAAAAGAAAAACUGAAAAAUACAGGAAAAGACUAACAAGACUACACCAGAAUUCAGAAUCACCCAGAUCAAAAACACGCCGCCUCGUAGGAAGGGUUCCUGUGUCUCGAGAGGUGCACAAAACUUUAGUUUCCCACCAUGCCCUAGUGGACAACAUCAGCAGAAAGUAUGCUUCUACCAAACACAAAAGAACUAGGCAGCUCGUGUCCAAUGGAUUUUAACUUGACGUGAAACUGCGAAAACCUCUCGAAUUUUUGGAUGGAGUUGACCUGAACAACAGAUAAAGGAUGAUGUGAAAAUAAAUAUUGAGAAAGACACUCAAUAGAGACAGAUAUUUCAGAACGUCAACAUGGCAAUGAUGAUAUGGCAGCCAAAAUAUAAAGUGUUGCCCAUUUAACUUUUGAAUGAAAGCAUGUCUAAACAAUAAACCUUAAUUGACAAUAGAUGUAUUGAACCCACACAACUUUGCUGCCCUCAAAAUAUGUUAAACAUUUUGAUGGUAAAUACAAAUUGGAAAAUGUUUUUUUUCAAUCUAGAAUUCAUUUUCAACAUAUAUUUAGGCCUACUUUUAUUUCAUAUUUAUAUUAUUGACAAUGCUACUGCAUCAGCAAAUUGUCGCCCAGCAGAAUACAGUUCAGAAGAGGGCUGUUGUCCAAACUGUCCCCCAGGAAUGCAUGUUAAUAGACAUUGCACAGAAUUCAGAAGUACAUCAUGUGCAUCUUGCACAGAAGGUACUUUCCAAGAUGGCAACAAUGGGCGUGAACAAUGCUUUUCAUGUAAACAUUGUGAUGCAGGUCUCGGUCUGAAGGUGAAGAAGUCGUGUUCAUCAACAUCAGAUGCUGUGUGUGAGGUCCUGGAUGGAUUCUUCUGUAGUGACUCUAACGGAGGUGGAUGUAGGGCCGCUCAGAGACACACGGUUUGCAGUCCUGGUCAAUACAUCGGUCAAAGAGGGGCCAUCCAGCUUCUUACCAAUGUAUUGGUGUCUACGUUAUUCCAUGAUCAUCUACAACAGUCUGACAAUGAGUAGAGAUAGAAACACCUUUGAAGUACAAUUCUCUGUUUUCUUCUUCCUUCUUGCGGCAAACAAUUUUGGUGAAAGUAGUUACAAUAUUUAACCUCGCCAUGUUUUUCA